CCGAACGCGCACGGAGGGUGAAAAAUAAUGAUAAUAAUAAAAAAAAACACAACAACUUGGGUAGCAAAAUAAGGCAAUGUUUGUGUCUGGGGACGCGUCGCCGCCUGUGGGGAACGCCGCUCGGUGUCCUGCGAGGAGAAAGCUGCUGUGGGAGCACGCGUGUAGGAGUAGCUGCUGCUGCGGGAGGUGGCCGGAGCUGCUGGGAUAACACCCAGCUCCAGAGAAGUGUUUUCCUAGCUGGAGUAGAUAAGGCUAAUGCUUUCUGUGCAGCUGGAAUACUGCGGUGUUCCUACAGAGGCAGCUUAUGUGAGGUGACCAGAAAGGAGGCACUUGCUGGUUUCGUUUUUGCACUGAAUGUAGCCAGGACGGAUCCUUGUGGGCUUUGGCAGCCCUUGGAAACUGUCAAAGGCAGUAUUUUGCAUUUCUGCAGAGCUUUGCACAGAUCCUGUUCCCAUGCAAACUGAUGAGGGAGAAAUACUGGAGGAAGGCAGUCCCAAGAUGGAACAUGAGGAUUUUGUAAUGGAGGGGCAUGGCAAGACUCCACCUCCUGGUGAAGAAAACAAACAGUGAGUCACACGUUUAUUUGAAAAGGGCCUUACCAUAGUAAAUGGUGUGAAGCACUCUUGUUUUAAUGUGCUGGAAACAUUGGUUGUUCGUUUGGUGCUCGCCCUUUUGGUUCAUUAAAUAUCCCUCUUUAAUAGUGGAUGGUGGCUGUUAAAAAUAAAGAGAAAUAAAUCAGGAUGUUGACUUGCUUUAAAUUUAAAAGCAUAGAAGUACGCUUUGCAAUGUCAGAAGGUAAAUCAGAAUUUGUUGUGAAAGGGAUAAUCGUUCUGGAAGCUUAGCGCUGAGGCAGUGAGUUCCAUUUUUUAUUUCUAAAGUGAAAAUUUGUACGUGAAACUUUUAUACAUUUCUUCUUCGGUGAAGUAAUCUGAAAUAUGAUAGAACCAGGGUCACCUUCUUGGUGUGCAUAUGGUAGAUUAGUCCUCUUUGAAAUAUGAGCCUUCUUUAAAAUGUGUUUUAAUAAAGGAACUGAAAUUGUAAACAAAUGCUCUCUCAAGGAUGAACAAUUUAAGAUGCUAGUACUUAGUGCUUUAGGGGGAAAAGCUUGAUCAGAGGAAAAAAAAAAAAAAGACACAUUUCCAUCAGCAAAAGGCAUAGAGGAAACAGCUUUUGUUAAUAGGACUUCAGACUGAAAUCCAGUAGCAGAAGAGCAGAGCUCUGUCCUCAAGGUGUGCUGCAGUGAUGGCUGUCUCCUGUAUUCUUCUCUUCAGCUAAUGCAAUGGUAAUACAAUUGUAUCAGAGUUAAAUGAUUUACCUCACCUACCUUACGGAGCAGGCAAGAUGGUCUUUGAGAAAUCCACAGCACAUUUUUUUUCCCCCUGUGCCUAGUUGGAUGCCUCUUCAUGAAAAGGAAUCCUGUUGUCUCUUUGAUCAGCAGUAAACUUGGUGCAGAAAGGUUGGGAUUCAGCUUGAGGUGGGGGCCUUCCUUACCUUUCGGCUAAGCUAACAACUGUACGUUCGCUGCCUCUGCGACAGUGAGAAAAUGUUUCUGAGGUAGCCAAGAUGAGCUCAGGGAAGUUCGAGUGCUGAGCAUGCACAUUUUUUCCAUCAUGGAAGUGAGCCAAACUUCUCAAAGUAAUUGCUGCUAUUUCUUUCUAUUCAGACUGCCCAACUUACUGUGGUACCAAGAGGUACAAAGCUUGUCGAAGUAGAAACUUUCAGAAAGAUCCAGAAGGAAAUCAGAGUCUAAAUGAAACGUGGGAGUUAGAUUUCUGUUCUUCUGGAUUGCUUAUUUUGGUUUAUAGUAGUAUAAUGAAACACAUUAUUAGAGUGAAUAUAUGGGGGAUGUCGUCUUGGAUUUAUCCUGGCCUUUUGUUUGCUGUCUUAUUUUAGGUGCAAGUGGAAGCUCCAGCUAUUUUACAGUUGACCUGAUUUCUAAUUAGGGCUUUUCAAGAGCCUUACAAUCUCCCUCUUCUCCAAAACUAUGGUUACUGGAAAGAGAAUGAGAACGGUGAUAGGCGGGAGUUGUUUUAUUUUUAAAGCUAAUAAAUUUGUGGUUUGUAUAUCAAAUAAUAUUUUGAUAAAAGGCUAAAAGUGCAAUUUCAGUAAUGCAACUAAGAGAUUAAGGCAAUUAUUUUGUGCCAUUGUAGUAUAAUGCCAGGAAUAUUCUGUUGUGGGUAUUGCUCUUCAAUUUUAGUUGGUCACUUAAAUCUUUUACUACCCACAAUCUCGAAUUUUCAUCUACCUAACAAAAUCGUCUACUUACGUAGAGCUUAAAGGUUGUAAGUGGCUUUGUUCUGGCAUCGAGGAUAAACAGAUGAUAAUCACAAAGAGGACCAGUAAUUUAUAACCUUAAUUUACUUCAAAAAGGCUGCGUUGUCUUCACAUCGUUUUUGUACAGAUCUCAAAAGGAAAAUCUGAAAUUGCCUCUUCGUAAUAUUACUUCCAUUAGCCGUUAUCUGGACAUUGUGGAACAAGCCUAGAAGAGGGCCACAGACUGACUGGCUGGCACAUCUGGCAGUUGAGGAGAAUUUGAGAUUGCUCAAUUUAGAGAUGAGAAGAGUCAGGGCUGGGCAAACUUACCCGUGUAUGUAGGUACCUGAUGAGGGGUGGAAGGAAGACUUGAGCCAAACUCUUCUCGGCAGUGUCAGUGGGGCAACGGGCACAAACUGAAAUACAGAAAAUUCUACUCAAACGUAAGAAGGAAAAUAAAACAACAAUUUUUUUAAAAAAAAGCUGUUGGGGGUGGUCAAGCAAUGGAACAGUUUGCUCAGAGUGGUUGUGCCUUCUUCAUGCUGUAAGAGACUCAAAACCCAGCUGGACACAACCCUGAGCAACCUGCUGGAGUUAACCCUACUUUCAGCAAGGGGGUUGGGAUUAACGAUGUCUAGAGAUCCCUUCCAUCCUCAACGUUUCUGUGAUUGUGUGCUUACUAUUGUCUUCCUGUUUGAUUUGAGUUAAAAUUGGAGCUUGUUAAUGAAAAGAUAGUAAGUUUGAAUGCAGAAUCAGAUUUCUUCUGUAGAAGAUGUGUCCUUCCCUUUCCAGCUGUUCAUUGCACUUCCUAGAGUUUACUCCCUCUGCAGCUAUGCAGAUUUUUUUUUUUUUUGAGUUCCUCUAAUUUGCUUUCCUGAAAAGUUGUCCUUGUUAAUUUAAUCAUCUUUCAUACAUACCUUAAUCUGGAUAACUGUACUGCCAUGGCCUUUGGAAGAUACAGGUUUCACCAAGUGACCCGUGAGGGAGCUAACUUGCAGCACAGCGCUGGAGCAGUCAGCAAGUGUUAACCUUAGGCAAACCCAGCAAUUUCUUAGUAUCUAGCAGCAUUCCAGGGGACUCAAAUAAGGUUUGAAUGUGCAAUAACAAAAAAAUAUAAAUAAAAACAAAAAAAAAAACUUUUGAGAGACUUCCAGUGGAAGCAGUAGCUCUUGCCUAGCCUUGGUCUCUUGUGAAAUGUUGUCUGCAAAAGUACAGCUGCAUAACGGAUUACAAAGAGCCAGCAUCCAUGGACAAGUUCUGGCACUGUAUUUCUGAAAUGCAACAGUGUAUUUCAGCUCAGUAUGACUUGGGUAUAAACUUGGGAUUUUAAGUGUACCUUCUGGUAUUUAAAAAAUGGUUUAAUUGCAAAAACUUUUCUUUUGCUGUAUGGAAUGGCUCUCUCAAGCAAACCUACUGUAGGCUUGUAGCAUUUCAAGAUCUUUUGGUUAAAAUCUGGAUAAUAACCGAACUCUUGUCUGCUAGUAUCUGUCAGCUUUGUGGGGAGGAAUUCUCCUUUUAGAUGGUAUGUGAGGUCUUUUAAACUGGUCAUUUGCAACAUAAAUGUAAGUCAUUUCAGUUGAAGCUGUUUAUGAAGUUACCCAUUCAAAAUCCUUUGUAGAAAUGAAAUGUGGAAUGGGCGUUCUUGUCUCAAGUCCUCUGAAAGAUCUGCAGUUCAUGUGCGGUGCCAGUGUUAUAUGGACUGGCGUGGUUGUGCAGCAGUGAGGGCUGCACCUUACUCUGAAACCCCUGCAUGGACUCCCGCAGAGGACUGAGGCUGAUGAUGGCCACCAUGGACCGUGCUUCUCCUCCAGAAGAGGAGCAAUGCAUUUGAGAAAUUGUUACUUUGCAGAUUUGAAGUAAUAGAUGACACCUGGAUCUGUUAGUGAAAGGGAAGUAAUACACAAACUCAUUUUGUAACAACAACAAAAAGUUUGACUGACACAUAGAAGGCUGCUGGAGGCAGCAGCUAUUCAGACUAAAAAGGGAGCCAAGUUCAUACAUUCAUUUGCAAGGUAAGCCAAGCUAUUACCACUGUCUGAUGCACCUCGGUUGGCUAUUCCCUACCUGCUGCUUUAUGGAGGUGUUUUCAACUACCUAAGUAAUUUGUACAUCUGGAAGUGAUUCACACCACAAGAAAGAUAGCAAGAGAAGAUCAUCAUUUACUAAGUAUCAUUGAUUAGCCAUAUUGGAUAGCCUCUUCCCUGGCUUGACAGGUUUAUGUGGAUUCUGAGGCACCAAAAUUGCAGUCAUGCCAGAAAAGAGAUUGCAGCUGUGAAGAUCGCAAAAUCAUUGUUUUAAAUUUGGUCAUGCUCUUUUAAAUCCUUUUUUAAGACUUGAGAAGAAAUAUUCAAUGUCUUUCUGGACUGAUAUCACACUGUAAUUUAAAGAAGGCUACACAUAAAAUCAUACAGGCUGGAAAGAGGAAUUGCAGACCAAUAAAGUAAAGACCAAUAAAGUAAUUUAGGUUGGAAAGGACCUCUGAAAGUCAUUUUAUCCAAUCCUAUGCUUAAAGGAGAGGGGGAUUUGAAGGUUAGAUCUAACUUCACAGUUACAUCAGGCUACUCAGGAUUAUUCUAGAGCAUUUCUGGGCAAUCUCUUGCAGUGUUCAAUCACUCUCAAUAAUCCUAAUAUUCAGUGGGAAUUUCCCUUGUUGCAAUUAGUCUGUUGCCUUUCAACCUUCCAUUAUGCACGUCUGAAAGUCAGGCUCGGUCUUUACUAAAACUUAAUCUCUCUUUGUUUACUAAGCAGAAGGAUCUCCCCGUGGCCCACUUGCUUAAUUUCUCUUCAGACAAAGCAAAGCAAGUGCUAUCAGCCUUUCUUUGUAAGUCGCAUUAAGGAACCAGUUAAUAGGCCUGUCUUCCUUCAUUUUCAGCAACCUAUCAAUAUUAUGUGCCUCGCUGCCACAGUAGCAUAAAUCAACCAAUACUACUCUUUUAUAGUGAUGCUGAAAACUAUAGAAAGUCUUCCGUGGUAUAUCCUGAAGAUAACAAACAGCUUUGGCUGCUGGGAAUGCCCAAUGUUGUUACAAAAUAUGGCAGUAUUCUUGUGAAGGGUCUCUUCAGUGUUAAAUUUCCAAGAAGGCCCAAAGCCAUAGAAUCUCUCUCUGUAGCAUGAAAUCGUGUUCUUAGCAAAUUUAAAGUAAGCCAUGGCUAAAUACGUGCAUAACAGGGUUUUUGCUUGUUGUUUUAAGGACACUCCUUACUACGGAAGGUAUUAAGAUUUGUCUCGAGUAGCUCCACACCUUUUUUAAUUAACUGACAGUGCCAGCCAAAACAGAAGAUUUUGAAGGUAUUCAUGCUAAUACUGUCAAAGUAACCUCCAAAUCCUAGUUCAGAUUAUCAACCCAAUUUGGGCUACCUAAUUUGGAUGUCAGCUCAAAUUCUGUUGAAAUUCAUGGCAAAUUAUGCCCUUCCUUGGAAACAUCAAUGCUUAUGUUCAAAAUGAAAGGUCGUAGCUAUUUUUUCUGUGUCUGUAGAAUAAGUAACCCAUUACAUAAAUCCUCUACAAAACUGUCCAUCCACCCCUCUUUCCCCCACCCCCAAAAAAAGUCCUUUGUCCUACAUCCAAACAAGGCACAGCUGAGACAUGCACUAUGUAUGUAGUGGCCAUACUAGAUGUUUUUGUCGCAGGGUGUUGUGGUUCUGUUAAUGUACAAGAAGAUGUUUCAGGCUGGUAAUAAUUCAGACUAGUUCUGGUGUUGGCAUCCGAGUGGGAGAAUUUUGACUUGGACUUUUUUUUUUUCUUUUACAUCCUUGGAGAUAUGAAAGGAUACGGGAAGCAGGAGAGCAUGAAACUAGUGCUAGAGGUAAGAAUUGAGUAUCUAAGUGAGGAUUCAGGAAUACUUUCAUCAGCUACAUACUGUCCAAGUGUUUUUAAGCUGCAAUGGUGUGGGCGACCCUACCUGUGUAGGUAAGGGAGGGGCACAGAAAACCAUUGCCCUUUGUUGUGCGAUGGAGUGGGUAGUAAUGGAUGAGGCAGCAGUGAACUCUAGCUGGAGAGCAGCUGUGUUUUAGCCCUAAGACUGGUAAGUCAAUAAUGUUGAAAAAGCUGGCUUGCACUUCUUAAAAUAGAAUACUUCAGAACAAAACAACUACAAAAAUCUGCAGAAUAUACUUAAGACUUCAGCACUUUAAAUGCUAAGGGUUCCAUCAAUUCUCUUCCAUGUUUUAUCAGUUAGUGUUAAGCUUUUUUUUUUUUUUUUUUAACUUUUUUUGUGCCUAAAGUUAUUCUUCCCAGGAAAACUCCAGUCUGAAUAUUCUAUGCAAAAAUCAUUAAAAAUCACACUCACUUCUGCAAGCUAGUCUUGAAAACGCUGGAAAAUGUUUUCAAUUGUCAUCUCAUUUUCUUAAAGUUACGCAGAUUCACCUACUCACUCAUUUUUCUUUCAAACCUUGUAUUAAGAGGCAGCAAAGCAUACAGCAUUGUGUCUUACUUUGUCAUGAACAGAUACUGGCUUUUCAUGUACCUCAGCUAACCUACACCAUUAGUAUGCUGUCAUUUAGCAAGUAUUUUCUUAAUAUGUGGAAAAGCAGAAGCUAGAUGACUUGAGGAAAAAGAAAACAUAUCACACAGAAAAACAUCAACUCUGGAAGUAAAAUUCCUACUUACUAUCCACAUAUUUAACCUACACACUACUGAAUAUUGAGAGAAGAAAAGAUUUGUGGACAGUAUGCAUUCUACAUUUGAAUAGCAUGACGCUUCUUUUCCCUGGGAUUUUACAGCAUUUUCUUCCAGAUGUCUUCUGGUAAGACCAGGCUAGUUUGUUGUUUUUUCCAAGAUCUGUAUUUGUCCUGCGUAGGAAGUUCACAAAACCUGCGUCUGAACUCUGCAGUCUAAUCUGAUCAAGAGACUUCAUAUUUGUUGUCUUCCCAGACCAAGAAAAAAAAGCGUAUUUUGCGUUCCAGUUUGCUGAUACUUAUAAAUAUGGUAUUGCAAAAUAUCCGGAGUAGGUAGUGUCACACAUUCCCAGUUUAAUUAAUAAUUUAGUAGUAAUUCUAAUUGCUAACAAAAACUUACUGUACAGUUUACUGUAUUUUGAAGCAGAGAGUAACUGUAUACAGACUAAAUUCCUAAAAUCCCAGAGCCUCUUUAUUUGAGACACAACCUCCAGCCUAAGCUCUCCAGUCCAUUUUCAGGGAGUGAACUAGCUAGGGACACUAUUAAGAUCAGGUUAAUUGUCUGAGAAGUCUUUUUUGGUUUGUUUGACUAGUGGAUGUUCCCCGCCACCCCUUUCCUAGGCUGAUGCUUCCUCAGAAGCUGACUGAGGUAACUGCCUUCUGAUGCAUCAUUUAUAUGGAUGGCUGGAAAUUGCUCUCUUUUCAGCUUUCCCUUGGUAGAAACUGAUGGGUGGCCUCUUACAUAGGAGAGACAAGUUGCUUACAGGUUGACGUUUAGAAAUUUAGAUAAAACAUACACAUAAAACAAACAAUACAAACAUAAAGAAACCUGUUUAGAUCUGCUUGUUUCUAUGCUGCCCUUCUCAAGCACAUACUUGUGAUGUACAAACUUAAAAGGUAGGAUGUCUGUAUUAAAUAUAUGCCUUAAAUGCUAUAUAGAAUGCCAUAAGUCCGCAGUGAGCCUUAAAUGUUCCGUUUGUGAUUUGUCUCCCACCUUGAUGUGGAAGAACACAUACUACAAAGUUAGUUCCUGAGAUUGGCAGGAAAUGCAGUUUAAAGAAACUGUUCUACCUUUUUGCCUUUGUACUGCCACUUCCUUGAGGACAGUUUGAUUUCUUCCUUCUUCUCCCCACCUUUGCUCCUCUUAGUAUAACUUUGUACACUUUUAUAAGAGUAAAACUUUCAGUGCUAUCCUGUAAGUGUUUUAUAGAGGAAAUCCUUGGAAUUCAAGCAAGUAUUUAGAAGUUCCUUAAACAAAACUAGUAUUUUUCAUUGAUAAAUCAAAUGUAUUUCUGGUUAGUAUUUUUUUAAAAAAAAAAAAAAAAAAAAAA